rnacentral:tRNA from 1 species
GCCGAUGUGGUGGAACUGGCAGACGCGCCGGACUCAAAAUCCGGUGGGGGCAACCCCAUGAGAGUUCGAUUCUCUCCAUCGGCACCA